rnacentral:rRNA from 1 species
GACGAACGCUGGCGGCGUGCUUAACACAUGCAAGUCGAACGAAAAGGCCCUGCUUUUGUGGGGUGCUCGAGUGGCGAACUGGGGAGUAACACGUGAGUAACCUGUCCCUGACUGUGGGAUAACUUCAGGAAACUGGGGCUAAUACCGGAUAGGAUCUCUUGCUCCAUGGUGGGCGUUGGUAAGUUUCGGCGGUUGGGGAGGGAAUAGCGGCUUAUCAGCUUGUUGGUUGGGUAGUGGCUUACCAAGGCUUGGACGGGUAGCCGGCCUGAGAGGGUGACGGCCACAUUAGACCUGAGAUACGGCCCAGACUCCUACGGGAGGCAGCGGUGGAGAGUAUUACAUAAUGGGCGGAAGCCUGAUGCAGCAACGCAGCGUGCGGGAUGACGGGCUUCGGGUUGUAAACCGAUUUCGCCUGUGAAGAGGCGUGAGUGACGGUAAUGGGUAAAGAAGCACCGGCUAACUACGUG